rnacentral:lncRNA from 1 species
CUUUGAUGAAUUAAUUCCUACUCAUGAGCGCUACAAACCUGGAUUUGUGUACAAACGACGGUGGCCACCUUCGUCCCUUUUUGAGUUUGAUCCGUCAUCUGAGCCUGCCCAAGUUGUUCACUCACCUGAUGAUCCAGAUUUCAAUACUGUUCUUCGCCGAUCCACUAGAGUCACUCGACCUUCUGAUCGGUAUGGUUUCUCUCAUAUGUCUCUUAAUGCUAUUUUAUCAUCUGUUCCGAUUCCCUCUUGCUAUUCAAAGGCUAUGAAAUAUGAAUGCUGGCGUGACGCCAUGGCAGCUGAACUUCAAGCUCUUCAGGAGAAUCAUACGUGGGAUAUUGUCCCUUGUCCUGUGGAUGUUAAAGCUAUUGAUUGUAAGUGGGUUUACUCAAUCAAAUUACGUUCUAAAGCACGUAUGGUUGCUCUGGGCAAUAGGCAAGAAUAUGGGGUUGAUUAUGAGUAGACAUUUGCUUCGAUUGCCAAGAUGACUACGGUGCGUACUAUUAUUUCUAUUGCAGCAUCUCAAGGGUGGCCACUUUAUCGAAUGGAUGUUAAAAAUGCAUUUCUUCAUGGUGAUCUCAAGAAGGAGAUUUACAUGGCACUUCCACCUGGGUUGUCCACCUCAUCUUCUCAUGAUGUUUGUAAGUUAAAGUGGUCUCUAUAUGGACAAAAACAAGCUCCUCGGGUUUGGUUUGAAUAGUUUCGAGCUACUUUGCUUCGAUUUUCAUUUGAACAAAGCCAAUAUGACUCAUCCUUAUUUCUUUGCAAAACUUCUGUUGGUAUCGCACUUCUCCUUGUUUAUGUUGAUGAUAUUGUCAUCACCGGGACAAAUUCGGACCUAAUCACGCGUCUUCAGCAACAUCUUCAGGCCUCGUUUCAUAUGAAGGAUCUUGGUCUUCUCACAUAUUUCUUAGGGUUGGAAGUUCAUUUAGAUCAUUCCAGUAUUUUUUAAAGUAACACAAGUAUACACAGGA